AAAUGUAAAGAAAUGUUGUAACUUGAAUAAGUAUUUAGGUAGGCUUGUGAGAUAGGAAGUUCAGAUGUCAGAGGAGAAAGAGGCUUGAUUCAUUAGUUCAUGCAAGAAAUGAGUAGGAGAUAGAGAAGAAUAUCUCAAAGAAAAGUAUAUAUUGCACAACAGCAGAAUACCAUCACUUAAGUUGCAUACAACUGACGUCCAGGACAUAAAUUGAUUGAAGAGCCCUAACCACUGUGGAAGAAAAAUCUGAAGCAAAGUAAAAAAAAAAUACGUAGGAUCUUUGUUUGGAACUGGGCUAUAAGACCACUGCGUUGGACUCAAAUUAUUUCAUAACUUAAUUAAUAUUAGAAUAUUUUUUGCCUAAGUGUCGGGUUUCUCACAAACUGUAUUCAAGGACGACUCACAAACGUUCUUUUGCCUUUUGUUAUUUAUAUUUGAUUUUUUAAACUCCUAUCUUGGUUCUAUAUCAACCUGUAUAUUGUUUUUUGUAAUUUUUUUUUUAGUAAUGUAUCAUGAGCAUGUACAGACAUUGUUGACGGUUGAAGAACGCCAAUUUGGGCUAUAAACGUGUUGGGUUGCAAAAGUUCCCUUUGUAACAUUGUAUUUCUUUCCUGCAAUGAAGUCAAAGUUGGGCCCAUAAAUGUUUAUAACCAUCUGAGAAUAAAUAAUGUAUUUCUGAUAAUA